GACAGAGGGUGCAAACGUUGUUCGGAAUUACUGGGCGUAAAGCGCGCGUAGGCGGCUUUGUAAGUUAGAGGUGAAAGCCCGGAGCUCAACUCCGGAAUUGCCUUUAAGACUGCAUCGCUAGAAUCAUGGAGAGGUGAGUGGAAUUCCGAGUGUAGAGGUGAAAUUCGUAGAUAUUCGGAAGAACACCAGUGGCGAAGGCGACUCUUUGGCCUGUAACUGACACUGAGGCGCGAAAGCGUGGGGAGCAAACAGG
rnacentral:rRNA from 1 species